AUGAACGCUAGCGACAGGCUUAACACAUGCAAGUCGAGGGGCAGCACAGGUAGCAAUACCGGGUGGCGACCGGCGCACGGGUGAGUAACGCGUAUGCAACUUACCUAUCAGAGGGGGAUAACCCGGCGGAAGUCGGACUAAUACCGCAUGAAGCAGGGGCCCCGCAUGGGGAUAUUUGCUAAAGAUUCAUCGCUGAUAGAUAGGCAUGCGUUCCAUUAGGCAGUUGGCGGGGUAACGGCCCACCAAACCGACGAUGGAUAGGGGUUCUGAGAGGAAGGUCCCCCACAUUGGUACUGAGACACGGACCAAACUCCUACGGGAGGCAGCAGUGAGGAAUAUUGGUCAAUGGCCGAGAGGCUGAACCAGCCAAGUCGCGUGAGGGAUGAAGGUUCUAUGGAUCGUAAACCUCUUUUAUAAGGGAAUAAAGUGCGGGACGUGUCCCGUUUUGUAUGUACCUUAUGAAUAAGGAUCGGCUAACUCCGUGCCAGCAGCCGCGGUAAUACGGAGGAUCCGAGCGUUAUCCGGAUUUAUUGGGUUUAAAGGGUGCGUAGGCGGCCUUUUAAGUCAGCGGUGAAAGUCUGUGGCUCAACCAUAGAAUUGCCGUUGAAACUGGGGGGCUUGAGUAUGUUUGAGGCAGGCGGAAUGCGUGGUGUAGCGGUGAAAUGCAUAGAUAUCACGCAGAACCCCGAUUGCGAAGGCAGCCUGCCAAGCCAUUACUGACGCUGAUGCACGAAAGCGUGGGGAUCAAACAGGAUUAGAUACCCUGGUAGUCCACGCAGUAAACGAUGAUCACUAGCUGUUUGCGAUACACUGUAAGCGGCACAGCGAAAGCGUUAAGUGAUCCACCUGGGGAGUACGCCGGCAACGGUGAAACUCAAAGGAAUUGACGGGGGCCCGCACAAGCGGAGGAACAUGUGGUUUAAUUCGAUGAUACGCGAGGAACCUUACCCGGGUUUGAACGCAUUCGGACCGAGGUGGAAACACCUUUUCUAGCAAUAGCCGUUUGCGAGGUGCUGCAUGGUUGUCGUCAGCUCGUGCCGUGAGGUGUCGGCUUAAGUGCCAUAACGAGCGCAACCCUUGCCACUAGUUACUAACAGGUAAAGCUGAGGACUCUGGUGGGACUGCCAGCGUAAGCUGCGAGGAAGGCGGGGAUGACGUCAAAUCAGCACGGCCCUUACAUCCGGGGCGACACACGUGUUACAAUGGCGUGGACAAAGGGAAGCCACCUGGCGACAGGGAGCGAAUCCCCAAACCACGUCUCAGUUCGGAUCGGAGUCUGCAACCCGACUCCGUGAAGCUGGAUUCGCUAGUAAUCGCGCAUCAGCCAUGGCGCGGUGAAUACGUUCCCGGGCCUUGUACACACCGCCCGUCAAGCCAUGGGAGCCGGGGGUACCUGAAGUCCGUAACCGCGAGGAUCGGCCUAGGGUAAAACUGGUGACUGGGGCU
rnacentral:rRNA from 1 species